rnacentral:rRNA from 1 species
CCUACGGGGUGCAGCAGUGGGGAAUAUUGCACAAUGGGGGAAACCCUGAUGCAGCGACGCCGCGUGAGUGAAGAAGUAAUUCGUUAUGUAAAGCUCUAUCAGCAGGGAAGAAAAUGACGGUACCUGAGUAAGAAGCCCCGGCUAACUACGUGCCAGCAGCCGCGGUAAUACGUAGGGGGCAAGCGUUAUCCGGAUUUACUGGGUGGAAAGGGAGCGUAGACGGCAGUGCAAGUCUGGAGUGAAAGGCGGGGGCUCAACCCCCGGACUGCUCUGGAAACUGUACGGCUGGAGUGCAGGAGAGGUAAGUGGAAUUCCUGGUGUAGCGGUGAAAUGCGUAGAUAUUAGGAGGAACACCAGUGGCGAAGGCGGCUUACUGGACUGUAACUGACGUUGAGGCUCGAAAGCGUGGGGAGCAAACAGGAUUAGAUACCCCAGUAGUC